rnacentral:rRNA from 1 species
AUACAUGCAGUCGAACGGAGUUAUUUACUUCGGUAAAUAACUUAGUGGCGAACGGGUGAGUAAUACAUGAGGAACCUGCCCAUAGGACGGGGAUAGCCGAUGGAAACGUUGGAUAAUACCGGAUAUGAGUAUCGAAGGCAUCUUUGAUAUUUGAAAGGGAGCUUCAAAGCUUCGCCUUUGGAUGGCCUCGUGGCGCAUUAGCUAGUUGGCGGGGUAACGGCCCACCAAGACGAUGAUGCGUAGCCGAUCUGAGAGGACGAACGGCCACAUUGGGACUGAGACACGGCCCAGACUCCUACGGGAGGCAGCAGUAGGGAAUUUUCGGCAAUGGGCGAAAGCCUGACCGAGCAACGCCGCGUGAACGAUGACGGUUUUUGGAUUGUAAAGUUCUGUGGUUGGGGACGAACAGUGCGAUUAGGAAAUGAUUCGCAAUUGACGGUACCCUUCUAGAAAGCCACGGCUAACUACGUGCCAGCAGCCGCGGUAAUACGUAGGUGGCGAGCGUUAUCCGGAUUUCAUUGGGCGUAAAGGGUGCGUAGGCGGUGCAAUUAAGUCCGAGUUAAAAUCGUUUGAGCUCAACUCACAUCAAGGCCUUGGAAAACUGGUUUACUAGAGUUGCGGUAGAGGUUAGUGGAAUUCCAUGUGUAGCGGUAAAAUGCGUAGAUAUAUGGAGGAACACCGGUGGCGAAGGCGACUAACUGGGCCGUAACUGACGCUGAGGCACGAAAGCGUGGGGAGCAAAUAGGAUUAGAUACCCUAGUAGUCCACGCUGUAAACGAUGGAUACUUAAGUGCUGGGGAAACUCGGUGCUGCAGCUAACGCAUUAAGUAUCCCGCCUGGGGAGUAUGCACGCAAGUGUAAAACUCAAAGGAAUUGACGGGGACCCGCACAAGCGGUGGAUUAUGUGGUUUAAUUCGACGCAACGCGAAGAACCUUACCAAGUCUUGACAUCCCGAGCAAAGCUAUAGAGAUAUAGUGGAGGUUACCUCGGUGACAGGUGGUGCAUGGUUGUCGUCAGCUCGUGUCGUGAGAUGUUGGGUUAAGUCCCGCAACGAGCGCAACCCUUAUGUUCAGUUACCAUCAUUUAGUUGGGGACUCUGGACAGACUGCCGGUGACAAACCGGAUGAAGGUGGGGAUGACGUCAAAUCAGCAUGCCCCUUAUGACUUGGGCUACACACGUAAUACAAUGGCGUAUACAAAGAAUUGCAAUACGGCGACGUAAAGCUAAUCUCGUAAAAUACGUCUCAGUUCGGAUCGGAGUCUGCAACUCGACUCCGUGAAGUUGGAAUCGCUAGUAAUCGCGGAUCAGCAUGCCGCGGUGAGUACGUUUCUCGGGUCUUGUACACACCGCCCGUCAAACCAUGAGAGUUGGUAACACCCGAAGCCGGUGGCCUAACCUGCAAAGGAAGGAGCCGUCGAAG